AUACGUAGGGGGCGAGCGUUGUCCGGAAUGACUGGGCGUAAAGGGCGUGUAGGCGGCGGUGUAAGUCUGGAGUGAAAGUCCCGCAUUCAAUGUGGGAAUUGCUUUGGAUACUGCAGUGCUAGAGUGUGGAAGAGGUAAGUGGAAUUCCCAGUGUAGCGGUGAAAUGCGUAGAGAUUGGGAGGAACACCAGUGGCGAAGGCGACUUACUGGGCCGAAACUGACGCUGAGGCGCGAAAGCGUGGGGAGCAAACAGGAUUAGAUACCCUGGUAGUCCACACUGUAAACGAUGAAUGCUAGAUGUAAGAGGUAUCGACCCCUUUUGUGCCGGAGUUAACACAAUAAGCAUUCCGCCUGGGGAGUACGUCCGCAAGGUUGAAACUCAAAUGAAUUGACAGGG
rnacentral:rRNA from 1 species